rnacentral:rRNA from 1 species
AAGAAUCAGACCGCCCGUACCGCAAACCGACACAGGUAGUCGGGUCGAGAAGACCAAGGUGAGCGAGAGAACUCUCGUUAAGGAACUCGGCAAAAUGACCCCGUAACUUCGGGAGAAGGGGUGCUGAUCGCAAGAUCAGCCGCAGUGAAUAGGCCCAGGCGACUGUUUAUCAAAAACACAGGUUUCUGCAAAAUCGUAAGAUGAAGUAUAGGGGCUGACGCCUGCCCGGUGCUGGAAGGUUAAGAGGAUGGGUUAGCGCAAGCGAAGCUCAGAAUUGAAGCCCCAGUAAACGGCGGCCGUAACAAUAACGGUCCUAAGGUAGCGAAAUUCCUUGUCGGGUAAGUUCCGACCCGCACGAAAGGCGUAACGAUCUGGGCACUGUCUCAACGAGAGACUCGGUGAAAUUAUAAUACCCGUGAAGAUGCGGGUUACCCGCGACAGGACGGAAAGACCCCAUGGAGCUUUACUGUAGCUUGAUAUUGGGUGUUUGUACAACUUGUACAGGAUAGGUAGGAGCCGUAGAAGUCGGGACGCUAGUUUCGACGGAGGCAUCGGUGGGAUACUACCCUCGUUGUAUGAACACUCUAACCCACGCCGGCAAUCACGGCGGGAGACAGUGUCAGGUGGGCAGUUUGACUGGGGCGGUCGCCUCCUAAAAGGUAACGGAGGCGCCCAAAGGUUCCCUCAGAAUGGUUGGAAAUCAUUCGCAGAGUGUAAAGGCAUAAGGGAGCUUGACUGCGAGACCUACAAGUCGAGCAGGGACGAAAGUCGGGCUUAGUGAUCCGGUGGUUCCGCAUGGAAGGGCCAUCGCUCAACGGAUAAAAGCUACCCUGGGGAUAACAGGCUUAUCUCCCCCAAGAGUCCACAUCGACGGGGAGGUUUGGCACCUCGAUGUCGGCUCAUCGCAUCCUGGGGCUGUAGUCGGUCCCAAGGGUUGGGCUGUUCGCCCAUUAAAGCGGUACGCGAGCUGGGUUCAGAACGUCGUGAGACAGUUCGGUCCCUAUCCGUCGCGGGCGCAGGAAAUUUGAGAGGAUCUGUCCUUAGUACGAGAGGACCGGGAUGGACAUACCGCUGGUGUACCAGUUGUUCUGCCAAGGGCAUCGCUGGGUAGCUAUGUAUGGAUGAGAUAAACGCUGAAAGCAUCUAAGUGCGAAACUCACCUCGAGAUAAGAUUUCCCACUCCUUUAUGGAGUUAAGACCCCUGAGAGAUGAUCAGGUAGAUAGGAUGGAAGUGGAAGUGCGGCGACGCAUGGAGCGGACCAUUACUAAUCGGUCGAGGACUUAACC